rnacentral:rRNA from 1 species
GGUGAACGCUGGCGGCGUGCCUAAUACAUGCAAGUCGAGCGAACGGACGAGAAGCUUGCUUCUCUGAUGUUAGCGGCGGACGGGUGAGUAACACGUGGAUAACCUACCUAUAAGACUGGGAUAACUUCGGGAAACCGGAGCUAAUACCGGAUAAUAUUUUGAACCGCAUGGUUCAAAAGUGAAAGAAGGUCUUGCUGUCACUUAUAGAUGGAUCCGCGCUGCAUUAGCUAGUUGGUAAGGUAACGGCUUACCAAGGCAACGAUGCAUAGCCGACCUGAGAGGGUGAUCGGCCACACUGGAACUGAGACACGGUCCAGACUCCUACGGGAGGCAGCAGUAGGGAAUCUUCCGCAAUGGGCGAAAGCCUGACGGAGCAACGCCGCGUGAGUGAUGAAGGUCUUCGGAUCGUAAAACUCUGUUAUUAGGGAAGAACAUAUGUGUAAGUAACUGUGCACAUCUUGACGGUACCUAAUCAGAAAGCCACGGCUAACUACGUG